rnacentral:rRNA from 1 species
UAUCCGGAUUUAUUGGGUUUAAAGGGAGCGUAGGCGGACGCUUAAGUCAGUUGUGAAAGUUUGCGGCUCAACCGUAAAAUUGCAGUUGAUACUGGGUGUCUUGAGUACAGUAGAGGCAGGCGGAAUUCGUGGUGUAGCGGUGAAAUGCUUAGAUAUCACGAAGAACUCCGAUUGCGAAGGCAGCUUGCUGGACUGUAACUGACGCUGAUGCUCGAAAGUGUGGGUAUCAAACAGGAUUAGAUACCCUGGUAGUCCACACAGUAAACGAUGAAUACUCGCUGUUUGCGAUAUACAGUAAGCGGCCAAGCGAAAGCGUUAAGUAUUCCACCUGGGGAGUACGCCGGCAACGGUGAAACUCAAAGGAAUUGACGGGGGCCCGCACAAGCGGAGGAACAUGUGGUUUAAUUCAAUGAUACGCGAAGAACCUUACCCGGGCUUGAAUUGCAACUGAAUGAUGUGGA